CAAAGCCACACAUCCUAGAGGAGGAGAGGGUUACAGAAUUGUGUGACAGGUUGUGCUUGGUGUUAAAACAGCUGUCACCUGGGUUCUGUAACCCUCACCCACUUCAGAUCCUCUUCAGACUUC
rnacentral:precursor_RNA from 12 species